GCCUCCCAGUUUCCUGAAGCUCUCCAGUCAGGAGGCAGAGUGGCCAGCACCAGCUGCCCACCAGAGUGCUGUGCACACCCUCUGCCCUCCCUGCCCUACAACCCUGGGCUAUGCUGAGAACUUGUGCCUUCCUUCUCCUUCUUACAGCCAGCAAUGAAAGCUCUCUGAGUAAGGGCCCAAAUCUACUCUUCGUUCCAGGGUCCACGCCAAGCUUGCUAUGGCCCUGGAAGCAGGCCUUCAUCUUUGGAGGGAUGCUGCCUCUGCACAUGGAUGCUCAGUUCAGACCGCAAGGUCAUCGUUGUUCACAGCCUGCUCUCCUGUUCUCCAGACUGAAAGAGUUAUGGAACUGAUGCUGGAAGAUAACAAAUGGCUCAAGGCUACGCAGAGAGUUCGUCUCUGAGCAGAGAGAGAGAAACUUCGCUGGAAGUCCGACAGUGGACCACAUGGGCUGGUUCGUGAGGGAGAACUGCAGAGAUAAAACAGAUAUAAAUUAAUGGGCUGGAGAGCUCAUUUGCAUGUUGUCUCCAUUUGGAAAGGAACUAAUUAAUAUGUUUUAUUGAACUAAUUGCAGUGCCACCAGCCUUUAGGAAAAAGGUUCUUAGGAACACAUACCCCAAAAGGAGGGGGGGAUCUCACUGCUAACAUGCAUGACUAAUAAUUGAUGUAGCUCUGUUAAAAAUUAACAGCACUUUAAUUAAAUGAGCAUUGCAAUGAUACCAGUGCAAGCCUCUUCGAUGUGAUGUCCCCUGGGCUGAGAAUGGCAUUGGCUCUAGAAUGAAAGAGACACACACACACACCCUCCACAGCCAAAACAACAACCCGGAAGCAGUGGAAAGGCAGUUUGCAGGUCCCACCCUGUGUAGUAGGGGGUGCCAGUCUGGGGUCCACAGAUGUUGUCUGCCUGCAACUCCCACCACUGCUAGUCACAAUGGCCUUCAGGGAGGCUUUUCAGUAUUUUCCCUAAGGGAGGCUUCUCAGUAUUUCAACCUGUCUGUACUAGACUCAUUUAAACUUGGUUUUAAUCGGGAUUCCAAUUUUUAGCCAGGUUUGGCCUUGGUUGUUAUUGUUGGAUUGUUUAACCAUUUUGUUGGCUGUUAAUUUUCAUUUUAUGUUGUUUCUUUGUGAUUUACUGUUGUUGUGAGCCACCCUGAGCAGUAGCAGUGUGCAAGCUUGCUCAAACCGGCUCGACUCGAAGGCUUGACCCGAGCUGAGACAGGCCUGGUUCAAGGCGGGCGGGGCAGGGGCAAUAAAACUGAGUUUUAAAAGUAA